rnacentral:rRNA from 1 species
GAUGAACGCUGGCGGCGUGCCUAAUACAUGCAAGUCGAGCGAACAGACGAGGAGCUUGCUCCUCUGACGUUAGCGGCGGACGGGUGAGUAACACGUGGAUAACCUACCUAUAGGACUGGGAUAACUUCGGGAAACCGGAGCUAAUACCGUAUAAUAUAUUGAACCGCAUGGUUCAAUAGUGAAAGACGGUUUUGCUGUCACUUAUAGAUGGAUCCGCGCCGCAUUAGCUAGUUGGUAAGGUAACGGCUUACCAAGGCGACGAUGCGUAGCCGACCUGAGAGGGUGAUCGGCCACACUGGAACUGAGACACGGUCCAGACUCCUACGGGAGGCAGCAGUAGGGAAUCUUCCGCAAUGGGCGAAAGCCUGACGGAGCAACGCCGCGUGAGUGAUGAAGGUCUUCGGAUCGUAAAACUCUGUUAUUAGGGAAGAACAAAUGUGUAAGUAACUAUGCACGUCUUGACGGUACCUAAUCAGAAAGCCACGGCUAACUACGUG